rnacentral:miRNA from 1 species
UACUCAGAAAGGUGCCAUUUAU